rnacentral:rRNA from 1 species
GACGAACGCUGGCGGCGUGCUUAACACAUGCAAGUCGAACGGAAAGGCCCUGCUUUUGUGGGGUGCUCGAGUGGCGAACGGGUGAGUAACACGUGAGUAACCUGCCCUUGACUUUGGGAUAACUUCAGGAAACUGGGGCUAAUACCGGAUAGGAGCUCCUGCUGCAUGGUGGGGGUUGGAAAGUUUCGGCGGUUGGGGAUGGACUCGCGGCUUAUCAGCUUGUUGGUGGGGUAGUGGCUUACCAAGGCUUUGACGGGUAGCCGGCCUGAGAGGGUGACCGGCCACAUUGGGACUGAGCUACGGCACAGACUCCUCCGGGAGGCAGCAGUGGGGAAUAGUGCACAAUGGGCGGAAGCCUGAUGCAGCAACGCCGCGUGCGGGAUGACGGCCUUCGGGUUGUAAACCGAUUUCGCCUGUGACGAAGCGUGAGUGACGGUAAUGGGUAAAGAAGCACCGGCUAACUACGUG